rnacentral:rRNA from 1 species
GAUGAACGCUGGCGGCGUGCCUAACACAUGCAAGUCGAGCGAUUCUCUUCGGAGAAGAGCGGCGGACGGGUGAGUAACGCGUGGGUAACCUGCCUCAUACACAUGGAUAACAUACCGAAAGGUAUGCUAAUACAGGAUAACAUAAGAGAUUCGCAUGUUUCUCUUAUCAAAGCUCCGGCGGUAUGAGAUGGACCCGCGUCUGAUUAGCUAGUUGGUAAGGUAAUGGCUUACCAAGGCGACGAUCAGUAGCCGACCUGAGAGGGUGAUCGGCCACAUUGGAACUGAGACACGGUCCAAACUCCUACGGGAGGCAGCAGUGGGGAAUAUUGCACAAUGGGCGAAAGCCUGAUGCAGCAACGCCGCGUGAGUGAUGAAGGCCUUCGGGUCGUAAAACUCUGUCCUCAAGGAAGAU